UCUGGGAAGCCAGCAGCUGUAAGCAGCAGAGACAGGCAUGAGACGGUGGCUUCAGAAAACUGUAAAUCUGGUUGUAGGGCAGCUGGUAUUGAGUUAAUAAUGCUGCAGCCCUUAAACACAAGAUGCUGGAUUGGUAUAAAAUCAUUCUGAUGUAAGGUGAUAAAAUUGAGAAUGAGCCGGAGACUCCAUUUCUGUCUGGAUUCAAGUGUCAGUGCAUCCGAUGGAGGAAGACUAACCAAUGUAAAAGAAGAAGUGCACAAAGAUGCAAAUGGAAUGUCAUGAAGAACAGUCAGCAACAUCCCUGUUUACAGGAACGUUCUACGUGCUGGAAGCAAGGUGGUCUGUCCAGUUUUCAUAGCCACAGCUCUGUGUUGGUUACAGCUGCAAAGAAAGAAAACCUAAACCUGCCACUUGAACAUGCAGGACAGACCAAGACAACCUGAGAGGACAUGCUCUAAUAUUUCUGCCUAUUUUCAAGUGAAAGUGUUCAUCUCAUGCAGUUCUGGAACUACCAAGGCAGAUGAGGAAAAGAAACUGAAGACAGUGAGAUGAAGGAGGGAUUAUUCUUCUUUAACCAGGUUGUAACAUAAAAAUUCAGGAACUUUUUGGUAAUUCCAUGGUCACAGGAACCACGCGACCACAGAUGAAAAUAACUUAUUUCCAACCAAAUUUUGUAACAACAUUGUCUCAACCGAUAAAGGAGUAAUAAACGGAUGGCAAAAUAUGAGUCAUUUAGUCUAUAUAAAUAUAUGAUUUUAGCAUGGGUGCACUGUGGAAAAGUAUGUCACAAGCAGAUGAUGUAUAUAUGAAAGAUGAUGGAUAAUUUCACUGCAAAUGUUUGUUCUGUAGAAGCCAUCUUAAUCAUUUUCUGUAUUUUUUGUGAUUCUCAGCAGUGUAAAUAUUGUAAGCAUUUGUUCCAAAACUAUGUGAUAAUCAGUGUCAUUAAACAUCUCCCUUUGCAUGCUAUGUUACAUUUGACAGUUCAUCACAGACAACUGACACAUUUACCUCUGCAUAACCUUCACUUUGUCUUAUCUUUUUUUUUUAAUAUUUUUAUCCAUCAAUGAAUUUUUUUUCCCAUUUACUUAGGUAAGAUAGCUUUUCUUUUUUAAGGAGUGGGGCAGUUGUCACUGUUUCUAUCUGAGCAGAGCUAUAGCUCAAUUAACAAAAGAUGUAAAGAUAAUGCUUUCUAUCAGCCUCAUGACUCAUACCUAUUUUUUUUUUUUUUACACAGCACAACAAUAUAUAAAUCCAAUAAAUUUAGAUACUUAAUCC
ensembl:lncRNA